GGGCGCCAGUGCUCUUCAUUGGAUUUCCUUCAGCAGGAUUUGCCGUAGAGAUGUAACAAUAGUUUAGUGUAAAUAAUGUGAUUUACGUGAUUUCUUACGACUUAUUACGAGUGUUACGGAUCGUAAGUUUUAAGAACUCGAUAAACUUAAUUACGUCAAUGUUCGUAAAAUAUUUAAAUAGGCGACCGACGAUUUGAUAAUCUGUCAUGAAUGAACGAAUAAAGAUAAAACAAUACGGCUAGUCUUCGUCGAGGAAAAAGUUUAAUGAAAGAGAGCUUACUUCAAGGUUCGAACAUGUUGUUGGAUGAUACUCGCCAUUCUUUCGUCCACGUUGGAACACAUGCCUUCCCG